rnacentral:misc_RNA from 1 species
AAAACGAACUGUUCAUAUACAAUGUAUAUAUUAUAGUCCUACAAACAUACAUGUUUGCCCAUAUGGUAUACAACAAAAAUAAUAGAACCACAUAGACAAUGUUCCCCUAAAUAUCCUUUGAAAAGAAAAAAAGAAAUUGCUUGGAUAUAUAUGAAUUAAUACGCCCAUCUUCCCUCCCUCAUCUUCCCUCACAAGCUACUAGGAUAAUUUACAACUUACAAGAAUACUAUGAUAACCCAUAUAAUCAGCACAGUCACAGUCAAGAGUUACAUCUGUCCCAAGCCUCUAUGAGACGAUCUUGAAGGGGGCCUAUUCAAGUCCACAGAUCGUUUUAAUUCUUCUGCUAUUUGUACAUCCUUCGCAGAUGAACUAGAAACAAAGCGUGAUUGAGUCUGUGACUUUGAAUGCAAAUGAUGUUGCUUCUGAAUUUGCCGAAACUGCUGCAGCUUCAAGGCAAAGUUUAUCCCAUUAUGCAUGUCGAGCGAAUUUGGAUUUUCAUUCAGGUCUCCCUCUUCAAGUAUUUGUGACCCCCCUCCUCCA